CCCUUAGAUGUUCUGGGCCGCACGCGCGCUACACUGACGGAGUCAACGAGUGGUCCUGCAUCGAAAGGUGUGGGUGCUCUUUGGAAACUUCGUCGUGCUGGGGAUAGAUCUUUGCAAUUAUCGAUCUUGAACGAGGAAUUCCUAGUAAGCGUGAUUCAUCAGAUCGCGUUGAUUACGUCCCUGCCCUUUGUACACACCGCCCGUCGCUCCUACCGAUUGAAUGCUCAGGUGAGCCAUUCGGACUUUCAUCAUGCUGGUUUCCAGUUUUGAUGAAGGAAAGUCUUGCGAACCUUAUCAUUUAGAGGAAGGAGAAGUCGUAACA
rnacentral:rRNA from 1 species